GAUGAACGCUGGCGGCGUGCCUAAUACAUGCAAGUCGAGCGAACAGACGAGGAGCUUGCUCCUCUGACGUUAGCGGCGGACGGGCGAGUAACACGUGGAUAGCCUACCUAUAAGACUGGGAUAACUUCGGGAAACCGGAGCUAAUACCGGAUAAUAUAUUGAACCGCAUGGUUCAAUAGUGAAAGACGGUUUUGCUGUCACUUAUAGAUGGAUCCGCGCCGCAUUAGCUAGUUGGUAAGGUAACGGCUUACCAAGGCAACGAUGCGUAGCCGACCUGAGAGGGUGAUCGGCCACACUGGAACUGAGACACGGUCCAGACUCCUACGGGAGGCAGCAGUAGGGAAUCUUCCGCAAUGGGCGAAAGCCUGACGGAGCAACGCCGCGUGAGUGAUGAAGGUCUUCGGAUCGUAAAACUCUGUUAUUAGGGAAGAACAAAUGUGUAAGUAACUAUGCACGUCUUGACGGUACCUAAUCAGAAAGCCACGGCUAACUACGUG
rnacentral:rRNA from 1 species